rnacentral:sRNA from 1 species
UCUCCACAGAGACAUAGAAGACACGAGUCUCUCAGUUAAAAGCACUAAAU